GGGAUGAGCAGGCCCGCCGGCGGAAAGUUAACUCUUGUUUUUACACUGAAACUCUGAGAAUAAAACAAAAAUGAAUCAAAACUUUCAACAACGGAUCUCUUGGUUCUGGCAUCGAUGAAGAACGCAGCGAAAAUGCGAUAAGUAAUGUGAAAUUGCAGAAAUUCAGUGAAUCAUCGAAUCCUUUGAACGCACAUUGCGCCCCUCUGGAUAUUCCGGAAGGGCCAUGCCUUGUUCCGAGCGUUCAUUUUCAACCCUCAAGCCUGGCUUGGUGAUGGGACACUGCCGUUUGAGAAAAGGCAGGUCCUGAAAUUCAGUGGCGAGCUCGCCAGGACCCCGAGCGCAGUAGUUAAACCCUCGCUUUGGAAGGUCUUGGUGCGGCCCUGCCGUUAAACCCCCAACUUCUGAAAAUUUGACCUCGGAUCAGGUAGGAAUACCCGCUGAACUUAAGCAUAUCAUAGC
rnacentral:rRNA from 1 species